GUUGCGAAGUCGCAAGAUUCCGUAUGUAAAAGUCCAAUGGAGCAACCAUGCAGUGCGAGAAGCCACUUGGGAGCUCGAGGAGUCAAUGCGGAGAGAGUAUCCGCACUUAUUUGAGUCGACGAGUUAAGGUAUGCGUAAUUUCGCGGACGAAAUUAUUUUAAGGGGUGGAGAAUGUAAUAUACAAAAAAUUCGGAAAAUAAAAAUGUCGAACUUUAGUCAAAUUGACCAAAGUGCGAGGGCGGUACACUUCGGAAAGUCCGAAAGUGUUAAAAUGAUUAAAAGUGAGUUACGGGAGGUUUUCGAGAGCUAUAGAAUCAAAAUCUGCAUUCUGCAGUUUUGAGCUCUCGGGGACCGGUCCCUGGUGGGAGAGACCGGUCCCCG
rnacentral:lncRNA from 1 species